CGCCGCGCUCCGCCACCGCCUACCGUCGUCGUUCUCCUCCACCACCUACCCUGUCGGCGCGCCUACCCCCACCCAAGCGCCCCCACACCCGCGGCCUUCCACCACCAGCGACCCAACGACGGCCUUCCACCGCCGGCAACUCUCGACGCUGCGGUGAUGGAUCCCCCGUCCCUGCUACCAUGGCGCCGUCAGGACUCCUCCCCGCUGCUUCCACAUCGACAAUGGUUUCCUCAACCCCAACGGCUUCACCACCAGCCACUCCUUCCCGGCGCACUCGGCCCGCCGUCGGACCCAUCCGCUUGGCUCCCGCGGCGAGAGAUCUGAUCGACAGAGAGACCAAGGGGGAGUGUUGGCGCAGAGGUCAGGCGUCACAGACAAACAAGUCGCUCGCUAGAGGUGGUCUAUGGUGUCGACACUCCGAUGGACAGAGCCGACGUGUGCGCUGGACAGAGUCGUCAUACACACAUCUAAUCCCACUGAUGAACCUGGCUGUGGGUUAGCUUCUGUCGGGAAGGUGACAAAGGAGAGAUAAAAGAAGCUUGUGGGGGGCGGCCUGAUGGACAGGAAACGAGAGGGUGACGCUGGCCUGAAGAUGAAGAAGGGACGAGAGCAUGGCCACGGUGCAAAUUCCUCUAUAUCUUUCCAUGGCUGUUUUAGAGCAUGGCCAUGGUGCAACAUCAGCUGUCUCCCUGGUCGAAGCAGAUGCUUGGGGUGAGGCCAACUUAUGAAUUGACCGAGACGUCUUUACCUUGCAUUGCAAUGUCUUAAUCUUGCAUCUUUUAUCAAGCUUGCAUUAGAGUAAAUUCAUACUAUGAUGGGGGGAUUAUGAAUCAGUUGACACCCACGAAUUAAUGUGAUACAUCUAUGGGCCUGGCGCCAGAAUUUAGCACUGGAAUUUAUCGUUCCUUGAUGGCAUCUGCAACUCACCACAACUGUGUUAAGCAGUACCUGAGGUGCCCGGAUUUUACUUGCCUGCUAUAAGAAGGAAGGGUUCUCGGCCGGAAUCUCCAUCGGGUUGCCUCUUUGGACCAUAAUCUCCAUCAAAUCCCGACGAAAAUUCCGUGAAACGUACAAUGUCGUCGUCGAUUUCGCCGGAGGAACAAAACAUCUGUCGAGCCGUCCAAUGUCGCCCUCGACGGCUACAACAGAUGUUCAGAGUUCACUGCUAUGAAAGAAGAAGGCAUAGAUUUGCCUCGUGGAAUUGCCAGUAGAAUCGCAGUGAGAACGAGUAAAAAUCUACGACAAGCAAUACAUUAUUUUGAAGCUACAUGAAAAGCAAAGUUGUAUCUCGUUCGUGAGAAGAUCAGAAAUUGAUUGAGCAUGAUGUGUCACCUUAUUUCAUUGUGUGUAAGCUCUACUCUACCUAAUGGUUACCUGGUCUAUGUGAUCUCAAGAGCCCAGCCAAGAUCAUGCUUACAUAGUCUAUGUGAUUUUUCAAGUGUGGCAUCAAAUGAGCCUUCCAUUUGUGAUUUUUCAAGUUUGGGCAGAGUUAUGAACCCUUUGCCAGAGGUCUCAUCCCUAGAUUGAUGUAGGAUCAAGAUGAUGGCAUCAGGGUUCCCAUGACCAUGUUCACCACAUUUGAGCUCCUCAAGCACGCCCCAAGCCCUCGUAAGCUUCUCAUAUCUUUGGUCCCUUUAGCUGUUGCAAAUUUGCCUUCAGUUUACAAUGCCAGAAGAACACUAACCCUGUCUACCAUCAAGUCAUUAUUGUUAUGGACACAAGAAAGUAUUCGUAUUUUCAUAGGUAGUAUCUGAGCAUUAUUGUCUUGUGACACUGGCCAAGCAUAAACUGACAUAGCGACAUCUUUCAGCAAUUUCCCAUAUAGUUCAAGUAGUGUGUUUGAACAUUGUAUUUUUUUUAAAGAAACCGAGUCACACACAAAAGGGCCAGAUUUUCUGGCACAUAGUCCACGAUUUGUACAAAUAACCACCUGUAAUUCUUAAUUUAGUUGCUAUUGCAAAAGACGGUUGCUUUCGAACCUUCCAUCUCAAGAAACUAGAAUUAGUACGAAUGUGCUUUUCCCUGACUCCCACAUCAGGCUGUUGCUCUAAUGUUUCUUCCAGGUUGAGAAUGGCAAGAAGACGCUUAUUCUCCAUUGUACAAAGACUAGCAUAGUUUUGAACUCUGUGCUGUCAGAUCUUUUUCACCUGAAGCAUGAUCAUCUGUGAAGUACGCCAAGAAUUACGACAACAUCAGGCCAUUUGAGAGUGGGGGUUAAACUUCCCUGGAGUUCUUCUCCCUUAAAUCUUAUUGCAGCCUCUUUAUUCACAUCUCCUAUGUGUAGUUGGUGACAACGAGGAAUUGUUAUCCACUUGAGAAAAUAAAGGUUAAAUCGAUGAUGCUCUCAAAAGUAAAAUGACUUUCUGACCUGGACAGCGACUUUGUGAGCACCAAUAUAGAACUUAUAAACCUUUCUCCAUGUUUGUUAUCAUGAUCUUUUCAUUUUCCUUUUGUAUAUUAAACUUGAGAAUAUUAUUCUGCUUUACUUCAACCAUUACUUUUUUAUGUGUUUGCAGUAUGACUGUCUGGUUCUCACUCAAAGUAGAGGCCCAACAAACUUUUUGGAGUCGAAAACUACAAAUCCAUCUAUUCCUAGAAUGGAGCUGGUUGGAGUUGAGCCUAUAAUUGAGCGGGUAGUUCGUUGGCACCGACAUCCAGCUGAAAGUUUAGAGGAGGGUUAGUAAAGCAAAUUUGUUCAUGAGGAAAUGUACCAGUAAAACAUUGAGUCAGAGUGCAAGUCAAAUGCUCUUAACAAAAAAAAAUUGUCGCUUUUUUUAAUUACAAUUCUUAUUAUUUUUAGUUGGUAUUGAUAUACAAAAGAAAAUCCUGUGGCUUUUUUUGCCCUCUCAUUGACCAUUGUAUUUUCAAGUCAUAUCAGUCUAUGUAAAAGAAUUCAGUACCUUAAUGUUUUGUAUAUUUGGAAAUGUUU